GUCUACAACUAUAUUAUCCUGGACAUGCUCAAUCUUGUCUGAUCUUGUAGCUAAGUAGAGUCAGACCUGGUUAGUACUUGGAUAGAAAGAAGAAAAUCAAACUGGUUGUCU
rnacentral:rRNA from 1 species